rnacentral:lncRNA from 1 species
GUUGCUCUUUUGCUUCUAUAGAUGAUUGGCUUUUUCAUGUUUAUAUUCUGAACUGCUUGUUGAAUAUAUAUAAAUUUGUCUCAGGUGUUGCACUAGGGCACAUUAUUUUGUCCUUGCUUAUUUACCCCCACGCGCGCGCACACACCCAAAAAAAAAGAUUCAUUAUGAACUGUUGGUCACAUUUAGGGUGAUCCAUCUAUCUUAUGAAAUUUAUGUUGCCUCCUAUUGUUUGUACUUUUGUGUGAGUUCAUUUUUACUAAGCGUGGGAAAGGUCUGUUUUCAUAGAUAUUGCUUUGUAGAAAUUUGAAUGAACCAGAAUCACACAGUUUAUAUCUAAGGCCUUGUUUAGUUCCCAAAAAAUUUUGCAAAAUUUUUCAGAUUCCCCGUCACAUCGAAUCUUUAGACGCAUGCAUGGAAUAUUAAAUAUAGACGAAAAUAAAAACUAAUUACAUAGUUUGGUCGGAAUUGAUGAGAUGAAUCUUUUGAGCCUAGUUAAUCAAUGAUUGGACAAUAUUUGUCACAAACAAAAGAAAGUGCUACAGUACCUGUUUUGCAAAAUUUUUUGGAACUAAACAAGGCCUAAGAUCAUUUGUGAUAUUUUUUUUUUAUCACCUGAUGUUCUAACCUAUUUUUGUUAUGAAUAUUAGAAAACUAUCGUUUGUUAGCUUAGGCUUUGUAUUGAUAUAUAUCUACAACUGAUUGAUCCUCAAUGAUAUGCAUUUUCAAUCAUCAGUAUAUAUUCAUCUAAUCAUGCUAUUGUAAUGAGUUCAGCACCAGAAGCUUUAGGAUGAUUACUGUGCUUUAUAUUUUGGUCAGAAAGGGCAACACGUGUGCUCUUAUUCUAAUCAGUGUUUUUAAGGCGUCGCCUAGGCGACAAGGCACUCGCAGGGAGUAAGGCGUCCCCGACGCCUAGCCAAAAGUAGUGAGAUAUCCAUGGAGACUGGAAGGAAAACGAUAGGGAAAGGCCGUGCAGCUGCCUCCUCGCUCAUCCCCACCAAAUCUGACGCUGCCUAGGUCAUCUGCGAUGGAGGUAGUGUUUGAUCGAGAUGGGGGAUCUGAGGGAGCAGCAGCAAGAGGUAGGGAAGGAGCGGAUGGCAGGCUGAGCACGCGCAACCAAGAGCAGCAUGAGGGAGGGAGGGAGGGUGGCGCUGCACCUGUGUGAGCCAUGAGGGAGGAGAUGCUGCGGCGCUACGCCUGUGUGAAGGAGAAGCAGAGAGCUCCCAGGCAGCAUGAAGGAGAAGCA